AGCGGGCACGGCUGUGAGAG
rnacentral:miRNA from 1 species